UCCUGGGAAUUCUGUGCACGGAAGCUGAUUUCAGUUGGUGCUAGAUGGAAGUCGGCGUUCUAGCACCAUAUGAAAUCAGUUAUCGGUGCUCAGGC
rnacentral:pre_miRNA from 1 species